rnacentral:rRNA from 1 species
UGGGGAAUAUUGGACAAUGGGCGCAAGCCUGAUCCAGCCAUGCCGCGUGAGUGAUGAAGGCCCUAGGGUUGUAAAGCUCUUUCGCCAGGGACGAUAAUGACGGUACCUGGAUAAGAAGCCCCGGCUAACUUCGUGCCAGCAGCCGCGGUAAUACGAAGGGGGCUAGCGUUGUUCGGAAUCACUGGGCGUAAAGCGCACGUAGGCGGAUCUUUAAGUCAGGGGUGAAAUCCCGAGGCUCAACCUCGGAACUGCCUUUGAUACUGGAGGUCUCGAGUCCGGGAGAGGUGAGUGGAACUGCGAGUGUAGAGGUGAAAUUCGUAGAUAUUCGCAAGAACACCAGUGGCGAAGGCGGCUCACUGGCCCGGUACUGACGCUGAGGUGCGAAAGCGUGGGGAGCGAACAGGAUUAGAUACCCUGGUAGUCCACGCCGUAAACUAUGGAUGCUAGCCGUUGGGCAGCUUGCUGUUCAGUGGCGCAGCUAACGCUUUAAGCAUCCGCCUGGGGAGUACGGUCGCAAGAUUAAAACUCAAAUGAAUUGACGGGGUCAUAGCUGUUUCCU